CCUGCCCUACGGGAGGCAGCAGUGGGGGAUAUUGGACAAUGGGGGAAACCCUGAUCCAGCGACGCCGCGUGAGUGAAGAAGUAUUUCGGUAUGUAAAGCCCUGUCAGCAGGGAAGAAAGAAAUGACGGUACCUGACCAAGAAGCCCCGGCUAACUACGUGCCAGCAGCCGCGGUAAUACGUAGGGGGCAAGCGUUAUCCGGAAUUACUGGGUGUAAAGGGAGCGUAGACGGUGAUGCAAGUCUGGAGUGAAAGGCGGGGGCCCAACCCCCGGACUGCUCUGGAAACUGUAUGACUUGAGUGCAGG
rnacentral:rRNA from 1 species